CUGUGGUUUGCGGUAAAGCUCGAAGGCCGAUCCUCGCUGCUCUCGGCUACCGGCGAGAUCGAGCGCAUGUCGAUCCGUGGGAUGGAUGGCUGGCAUGUUGCCUGCGAGAUACGAAAGUUUAUUGUUAGUGAAGUUAGUUCAUCUUAGUUGGGCAUUCAUCUCGCCUCUUACCGUACCGUCACACUAAAGCCAGCAAAUCGGCGAUUCGAUGCACAAACAGCGAUUGGAGCGGGCUGCAUUCGAUGCAUUUUUAUUGGCCCGUGCACCUUGUACGAAAACCGUCCACGAACGAACACGCUUUCGGCGUGCUUUCCGGGAGGGAACCUGCCACAUUCCGCACGCAACACGAUCAGCAGCAUCAAGCAACAUGGAAGCGGCUGGCUCGUACCGCUGCGGUAUGAGCGCGGGACACCACGUGAAGGUGGACAUUGUUGCCACGAAGAAGUGGUAAAACUGGUCUGGUUAGCCAGCACCCUAGCUUCUUCAGCCGGAGCCUGUUGACUGUUGGACCAGCGCAAGCGGCCUACGAGCUUACUGUAAGGCUUGGGGAGAUACCAAACGCUCUACGCUCGCCACUGGCCACUAGUAGCUACGGGGGUUUCCUCUACCUAAGCUGUGCCCCGUAGAACUACUACGCCGGCUACGACUAUUACUGUUACAACUAUACAAAUCAGCCAGAAACCCGUUAAAGUUAAGGCGGCAGGCGCGUGGAGGAAGGUGGGUCCAAGUUUACCAAGAUUGCAGCAGCCAUCAUGAUUAAUUUAUGGAUAUAUUACCAUGAUGCAAACGCAUACCACUGAGCGCGCACACGAUCGAUCGCAUGUGCGAGAAGAUGAUGGUUGUGUGUUGGAUUGUCGGUGGAUCAAAUCCCGCACAAACCCUAGCAAAAGGUUAUAUGGGCGACAGCUAGCUGGCCAUGGUAGGAUUUUUUUGUUGGUUGUUGUUACUCAGCACUGCAAUUUAUUUCCUCCUGUCGAUUGUCGUAAUCCUAAGGCUGGACUGAUUGUGGCUAAACGAUGCCAUGUGUGCAAUACAGUCGACAGGAGACUGUAUUAGGUUUAAUGAGCAGUGGAGAGGUUAAUACUUCGAACCAGUUGUAUUUGUUACAUUACGAAAGAUUAAUUUUCUAUCACAGUAUCAGGAUGGCUUUAUUUACUUGAAGACUUAUGCAUAUCGUUUUAUGGUCAAGUUUUGUCCGUUGAUUUGAGGAUUAUUUUAAGCAUAUUCUUUAUGUUGAUAUGCAUAAUGAGUUACUAGCAAAUUAUAGACCCCUUCUUCUCAACACUCAAAUCCCUCUUAAAUCAGCACGGAUCGGAUGGGCCAGCAGCUACUCGGCCUUCGAGAGGAAAUUGUAUAAGUAAAUAAAAAAGUCAUCAUCACCAGCCCCUACAGCGAGAAGGAAGGCCAAAUCCACAUACAAACACACACACUCUCCACAUACUUUAUAGAAAGAGAAAGGAGAAACAAUCAACAACGAGGCGAGCAGAUCGCGAUCAUUUGCACACACAGUUCCCCCGAUGAGGCAACAAAAAAGGGCAACAUUGGCAGCAGAAGCGUGCGUGUGGAGUAGCGGCAAGAUUGUAGGAUAAUCAUUUCUCGUGAAAGCCAACCCAUCGAGCGAGGUAGCUAGUACGCUGGAAGAAAUCAUACACCAAGCGCGCGCGGGGCGGACGGGAACUGGACGCAUCGGUUUACGCAUCGGCGCAUUCAUCUCCAGUUGGAGUUGGAGGACUACGUAGCAGCAUCAUAGUGCACGCCGGGGUGUAAUAACGAUCGCAAUGUGCAAGGUAAUCGGAUUCGCCACCGUACGAUAUGUUUCCUCUGCUGGAAUGGCGAAAAUGAAAGGCCGAACUUUAAAACGUCUUGUAGAGGAAGUUGAGGGCUCUCUACACACACAUUCGAAAAGAUAAGUCGUAGUGUUUGUUUAUGGCCCCGCGCAGAGCAGCUGGCAAUAUGGAGGGAUUUGAUCAACGCUGGGCUCAAAGUAGUCUUGGGCGGUAAUAACGACAUUAGAGACAACUUUAAUCUGGACGACUCAGAACAUCUGUUGGACAUCAGUUCUAAGUUUUCGAUCAUGCAUAUAGCUGCAACUUCUCUCAGCUUCUCGCAAUCGCUUUAAAUAGCUGGGAGAAGGGUUUCAAAUGUACAUUUACAUGGGUGAUGCCAGUGUGAUUUUUGAUAUCCAGCAUCGUAGAUCGAUCAGUAGCUGGUGUUAAAACUGGCUAAACUUGUCAACUACCGGAGAGGAAAUUAAACUUAAGAUUUUGCUUUGCUCAUUCCUUUCUGGCACACAUCCUAAUGUAAAGAAGCCUCUAGUUUUGUAAGAUACACGACUCCCGGUUUGCUAUCUUGGAGAGGUUACCAAGCACAGCUUGCUUCAAUCACAUCGUUGCUUAGCAAAACCCAAUGCAACUACGAUAAGACAUGUACAAAAACGCUAAAACAUCGUCGACUUGUACAAUAUUCGUGUUUAGAGCUUAUAGUCUAUGAUUAUGAUAUCUUGGGCAGGUUUUCUAAUUUGACGAGUCAUCAAAUGCAUGGAACACAUCAAAUGCAGAGAAACUCCCACCCAUGGGGAGGUAACGACUUAGAGAGAUUUCACUGUAUUGAAAGACCCGGAUAAAUCUCCCAGUUUGGAAGAGUGUUUUCCAACGGUUGCACUUGCAAUUCCUAAUCGAAAACAAACAACCGUCCGCGGUUUAGAAUGCGUAACCGGUACACACACUUGC